CUACCAGGGUAUCUAAUCCUGUUUGCUCCCCACGCUUUCGCGUCUCAGCGUCAGGUGUGGCCCAGCGAGCCGCCUUCGCUACUGGUGUUCCUCCCGAUAUCUGCGCAUUUCACCGCUACACCGGGAAUUCCACUCGCCUCUACCACCCUCUAGCCCGGCAGUAUCCACCGCACGCCCAGGGUUGAGCCCUGGGUUUUCACGGCAGACUUACCGAACCGCCUACACGCUCUUUACGCCCAAUAAUUCCGGACAACGCUCGCCCCCUACGUAUUACCGCGGCUGCUGGCAC
rnacentral:rRNA from 1 species